rnacentral:rRNA from 1 species
UGUCAGUGGCAGACGGGUGUAACGCGUGGGAACGUACCUUUUGGUUCGGAACAACACAGGGAAACUUGUGCUAAUACGAUAAGCCCUUACGGGGAAAGAUUUAUCGCCGAAAGAUCGGCCCCGCGUCUGAUUAGCGUUGGUAGGGUAAUGGCCUACCAAGGCGACGAUCAGUAGCUGGUCUGAGAGGAUGAUCCCACAUUGGGACUGAGACACGGCCCAAACUCCUACGGGAGGCAGCAGUGGGGAAUAUUACAAAUGGGCGAAAGCCUGAUCCAGCCAUGCCGCGUGAGUGAUGAAGGCCCUAGGGUUAAAGCUCUUUUGUACGGGAAAGAUAAUGACGGUACCGUAAGAAAUAAGCCCCGGCUAAUCGUGCCAGCAGCCGCGGUAAUACGAAGGGGGCUAGCGUUGCUCGGAAUCACUGGGCGAAGGGUGCGUAGGCGGGUUUUUAAGUCAGAGGUGAAAUCCUGGAGCUCAACUCCAGAAGCCUUUGAUACUGAAAGUCUUGAGUAUGGGAGAGGUGAGUGGAACUGCGAGUGUAGAGGAAAUUCGUAGAUAUUCGCAAGAACACCAGUGGCGAAGGCGGCUCACUGGCCCAUAACACGCUGAGGCACGAAAGCGUGGGGAGCAAACAGGAUUAGAUACCCUGGUAGUCCACGCUAAACGAUGAAUGCCCUGCCGUUAGUGGGUUUACUCACUAGUGGCGCAGCUAACGCUU